rnacentral:lncRNA from 1 species
GGGGUUGUUAGCUACCGGAGCUACGGUUUCAGGGAGCUUGGGAGAUAAUUGUCUGCAGGUGUGUCCAGUUUCUUCGCAAAUGUGUGCGACUGCACAGAAACCAAACUCUGUUUGCAAACGAGCAUACCGUGGAAAAUCAUAGACCACUAUGGUUUGUGUGGUGGUUAUAUUAGUUAACUUAGCAGUUGAAAUAUAAAUAGAUUUUUUUUUUCCCUAAGGUUUUCUGUAUAACUACAUUGAUAUUAUUAGUAAGUAUAUAAUGUAAUGUAAUUGUAAGGAAAUAAAUCACUUUGAUGUAAUAAAAUUAGGAGAAUGUUAACUUGUGCCCUUAAGGCACAUGUUAAGGAAGCAAAAAUAGAAAUUAUUAAAUGCUAUUUUGUGUAUUUUGACUUUUGAAACAUUAAAUUUCUUGUAUCAUUAAAUAUUAAAUUUCUAUUUUGGUAUAUCUUAACAUGUGCCCUAAGGGUAGGGCACAUGUUAACAAAACCCAUAAAAUUAUGUGAAACUUUGUGUUUCUCUUGUUAUUAUAGGCAACAAAGAAGGAACAUGUAAAGUUCUCUAGUGUUAUUUUCAUGCAAUAAUUUGGCAUAAAAAUGUUAUGUAAGGUGAUAUGAGUUUAAACCUACAAUAAAUUGGUUGUGAUGACAGAUUUGAAU